rnacentral:tRNA from 1 species
GGGGUUGUAGCUCAGUGGUAGAGCGCUUGCCUAGCAUGUGUGAGGCACUGGGUUUGAUUCUCAGCACCA